rnacentral:rRNA from 1 species
GAUGAACGCUGGCGGCGUGCUUAACACAUGCAAGUCGAACGGAAAGGCCCUGCUUUUGUGGGGUGCUCGAGUGGCGAACGGGUGAGUAACACGUGAGUAACCUGCCCUUGACUUUGGGAUAACUUCAGGAAACUGGGGCUAAUACCGGAUAGGAGCUCCUGCUGCAUGGUGGGGGUUGGAAAGUUUCGGCGGUUGGGGAUGGACUCGCGGCUUAUCAGCUUGUUGGUGGGGUAGUGGCUUACCAAGGCUUUGACGGGUAGCCGGCCUGAGAGGGUGACCGGCCACAUUGGGACUGAGGUACGGCCCAGACUCCUACGGGAGGCAGCAGUGGGGAAUAUUGCACAAUGGGCGGAAGUCUGAUGCAGCAACGCCGCGUGCGGGAUGACGGCCUUCGGGUUGUGAACCGCUUUCGCCUGUGACGAAGCGUGAGUGACGGUAAUGGGUAAAGAAGCACCGGCUAACUACGUG